CCCUUAGAUGUUCUGGGCUGCACGCGCGCUACACUGAUGCGAUCAACAAGUUUUUCCUAUGUCGAUAGACACGGGUAAUCUUUUGAACUCGCAUCGUGAUGGGGAUAGAUUAUUGUAAUUAUUAAUCUUCAACGAGGAAUUCCUAGUAGGUGCAAAUCAUCAGUUUGCAUCGAUUACGUCCCUGCCCUUUGUACACACCGCCCGUCGCUGCUACCGAUUGGUUGAUCUGGUGAGUUAUUCGGACUGCCGGCUGAAGGGGUUUCCUCAUCUGCCAGCGGAAAGUCUUGUUAACCCUAUCAACUAGAGGAAGCAGAAGUCGUAACA
rnacentral:rRNA from 1 species